GACGAACGCUGGCGGCGUGCUUAACACAUGCAAGUCGAACGAAGAGCGAUGGAAGCUUGCUUCUAUCAAUCUUAGUGGCGAACGGGUGAGUAACGCGUAAUCAACCUGCCCUUCAGAGGGGGACAACAGUUGGAAACGACUGCUGAUACCGCAUACGAUUUAAUCUCGGCAUCGAGGAUAGAUGAAAGGUGGCCUCUACAUGUAAGCUAUCACUGAAGGAGGGGAUUGCGUCUGAUUAGCUAGUUGGAGGGGUAACGGCCCACCAAGGCGAUGAUCAGUAGCCGGUCUGAGAGGAUGAACGGCCACAUUGGGACUGAGACACGGCCCAGACUCCUACGGGAGGCAGCAGUGGGGAAUCUUUCCGCAAAUGGACGAAAAGUCUGACGGGAGCAAACGCCGCGUGAGUGAUGACGGGCCUUUCGGGUUGUAAAAGCUUCU
rnacentral:rRNA from 1 species